rnacentral:rRNA from 1 species
UAUUGCACAAUGGGGGAAACCCUGAUGCAGCGACGCCGCGUGAGCGAAGAAGUAUUUCGGUAUGUAAAGCUCUAUCAGCAGGGAAGAAAGAAAUGACGGUACCUGAGUAAGAAGCCCCGGCUAACUACGUGCCAGCAGCCGCGGUAAUACGUAUGGAGCAAGCGUUAUCCGGAUUUACUGGGUGUAAAGGGAGCGUAGGCGGCCUGGCAAGUCUGGUGUGAAAUACCGGGGCCCAACCCCGGGACUGCAUUGGAAACUGCCAGGCUGGAGUGUCGGAGAGGUAAGUGGAAUUCCUAGUGUAGCGGUGAAAUGCGUAGAUAUUAGGAGGAACACCAGUGGCGAAGGCGGCUUACUGGACUGUAACUGACGUUGAGGCUCGAAAGCGUGGGGAGCAAACAGG